GUUUGAUGGCGACCGGCGCACGGGUGAGUAACACGUAUCCAACCUGCCGAUGACUCGGGGAUAGCCUUUCGAAAGAAAGAUUAAUACCCGAUGGCAUAGUUCUUCCGCAUGGUAGAACUAUUAAAGAAUUUCGGUCAUCGAAGGGGAUGCGUUCCAUUAGGUUGUUGGCGGGGGUAACGGGCCCACCAAGCCUUCGAUGGAUAGGGGUUCUGAGAGGAAGGUCCCCCCACAUUGGAACUGAGACACGGUCCAAACUCCUACGGGAGGCAGCAUG
rnacentral:rRNA from 1 species